GUACGCCGUGGGCCUGGGCAACGUGUGGCGCUUCCCGUACCUGUGCCAGAUGUACGGCGGAGUCAUGUAAGACGUGCCUACUUCCCCUUCACCUUCUUCCAAAAUUGCAAGUUUCCUGAGGCCUCCCCAGCCAUGCUUCCUGUACAGCCUGUGGAACUGUUGACUGGGUUUGAUUCCAAAUGGGAAACUUUUGGGGGAAGACCAAGAUGGAGGCGAGUGAAUGAAGAGAAGGAAGGCGCUGGGGUGGAGAGUCUCACACAAUAGAGCAGUGGUUCCCAAAGUGGAACCCCCAGGCCAGCAGCUUCAGCAUCCCCUGGGGACUUGUGCUCAGUGUUCCUUACAUUAAACAUGUGUAUAUGCACACAAAUACAC
rnacentral:sRNA from 1 species